CCGUCAUGGACCCCCUUUAUUAGAAGAGGUCUUUUCGUUCCGUACAAAAGCAGUUUACAACCCGAAGGCCUUCAUCCUGCACGCGGCAUGGCUGGAUCAGGCUUUCGCCCAUUGUCCAAAAUUCCCCACUGCUGCCUCCCGUAGGAGUCUGGGCCGUGUCUCAGUCCCAGUGUGGCUGGUCGUCCUCUCAGACCAGCUACAGAUCGUCGGCUUGGUAAGCUUUUAUCCCACCAACUACCUAAUCUGCCAUCGGCCGCUCCGUCCGCGCAAGGCCUUGCGGUCCCCUGCUUUCAUCCGUAGAUCGUAUGCGGUAUUAGCAAAGCUUUCGCUCCGUUAUCCCCCACGAUCGGGCACGUUCCGAUGUAUUACUCACCCGUUCGCCACUCGUCAACAUCCGAAGACCUGUUACCGUUCGACUUGCAUGUGUAAGGCAUGCCGCCAGCGUUCUAUCUGAGCCAUGGAUCAAA
rnacentral:rRNA from 1 species